rnacentral:miRNA from 1 species
UGCGAUGACUGCCUGUUACAGUA